ensembl:lncRNA
CUGUUAGAGAGAUGAGUAAAAAAAGGGACAAGAACAGAAAACAGAUCAAGCAUGCAUAAUCUAUGGAAGAGGACAUCCAUCUUAUUCAAGGGAUGCUCAGAAUAGCUCUCAGCAGAACUGGAGGCUGAAGAACAAUACACCUUGAAUCAUGAGAUUUUGGAUUCUCUGAGUCAGCCCUAGAGUGGCUGAAAAUCCAUGAACACUGGAUGAGAUCCAGAUUUCUUUCUUAAUGACCUAUCUAGUCCAGACUGGCUUAGUUGUCCUUUCCAGAAAUGUCAAGAAUGACAACAGAAAACAAACCAACCGAUUGGCUACUUUUCUGAAACGAUCUAUCCAUUGGAUGUUGUUGUGGAAGAUAUCAAGAAUGGCUCCAUGCCUGAGUUGCUCUUUAAAAGACCAAAAGGAGAUAAACCACAAGGUGAUAGGUGUCAAAUCCAUUGUAAAGCCAACUGUAAAUGUGAAUUAAAAUUGGGUGACUAAGUUUUAUCUGUUUCAAGCUCACACAAAGUUACUACAUGGUAAAUUAACUGUUUAUCUCAUGUUCUGAGAAAUAGGCCUAUGAUUUAGUAAACCUAAUUACAAAUCAUCCUUGGUUGGAGGUAAAACCAAAAGAGUGCAAGCUCUCCAAUUUCUGCCAUGCUGGAGAGACUCUGAAAUUGUUUCUGCUACUUACAUGAGCAAAAUGAUAUUUUGCAUUUCUUACAUGAAGGAAGCAACUUGCAUUCAGAAAUAGUUGUAAGACUAUAUUAAACAUCAAAAAUAUUUUAAAUUACCUCUAUAACUCAUUAAGAGACAUAAGUGCAAAAAACAAUGUUAUUAUUACUGAGUCAUUUUGCUUGUCCAACUCUUUGGGGUUUUCUUGGCAAAACAUACAUGACUAGUUUACCAUUUAUUUGUCCACCUUAUUUUACAGAUGAGGAAACUGAAGCAAAUAAGGGUAAGUGAUUUUCCCAGGGUCACACAACUAGUAUGCAUCUGGGGUCAGAUUUAUGUUUAAAUCUUCCUGAUUCCAGGACUGACACACUAUAUACUGUACCACCUAGGUCCCCAAAUAACAAUGCUACUAGCUACUUAGUACAAUGACUUUAUACAUCUAUCUAUCUAUCUAUCUAUCUAUCUAUCUAUAUUUUAAGCCAGGGAUGUCAAACAUACAGCCACAGACCACAUGUAGUUCACAGUAUUCCCAAGUAUGACCAGAUUCAUAUUAAAAUGUAAUUGGGAAAUGUUUUAUGAAAUAAAUAAAGAUACAAUAAAACAUAGCUAAUGUUAAUCAACCAAAAAAUAUUUAUUAAAAAGUGCCAGACACUUUAAUAAAUAUCGGGAUUAUAAAAAGAGGGCAGAAGAGAGUCUCUGUCCUCAAAGAGUUUAUUAUGAAUGUUAAUCUGUGGUUUCCUAAAUCAAUAGGCAUGUCAGCAGAGAUUCUUAUAUAUGGUUCAGUGACCCCUGUUUCUACUUGAAUUUGUUUUAAAAUUUACAAAGCAUUGUCCUCACAAUAACUCUAAGAGGUAAGAUCAGGCAAGAAACACAACUUCAUUUUAGAGAUGAGAAAACUGAGAUUUAGACAUGUUAAGUGAGUUGGCUAUGGCUCUUACAAUAUUUCUGUUCUUAAUCAAUCCAAGUUUCCUGGUAAUAGACUGAUUUAUUUAUUGAUUCAGUAUCCCAUGAGAAUGAUUGUUCAUUGGCUUUUUUAGAAGAAAUGAGGAAAAACCCAAGGGUCCCUUUCAAAAAAUAAAAACAAUUUUUCUUUUUGUGUUAUAAACUUUUAGUCAUCAACAAGCAUGAAGAUCAAGAUAAAAGAACAAAAAUAUGGACUUCUACUAAUAUGUAACUUGCAUUUAAUUGUAUAUUAAAUUUAAAAUUAAGUGGUAAGCAGUAUAGUAAAGGAUUAUGGGAACCAGAAUGACCUCCAUUUAAAUCUUACCUUUCUCUGACACAUACUGAUCAUGUGACUGAACAAAAAGUCAUCAUCUCUGUACUCAGGGCAGCUCUCUAGAACUAUAAACUGCAAAGAAGGUGGCAUUCUGCUUUGGUAGAAGGAGUUCCCUAGGCUAAUUAAAUGACGGGCCUAGUUCCUAUCCCUACUUCUUUUCCUUUUUAAUUUUCCUUCAUUUUGAAUAUGAAAACAAAAAGACCAAAAAAAAAAAAAUCCCUUGUACUGACCACAACAUAAAAAGAGGGUUCAAUAUAAAACCAUGAGUUUUCAUUUCAUAGUUUGCUUUUUAAAAAGCAAUAACUAUGUAAGAAGUACUAUACAUGAUUUUCAAAGCUGUUCUGCUUUUUUGUGCUUCUUUCUUGGUUUUCUUUUGUUCUCUACUGUGUGCUUUUUAUUUUUUUUCCUCCUUUCCUCAUCUAGUUCCAAAGAAGCCUAACAUCAGUCACAAUAUGUAUAUAUAUGUAAACCAUAUUAUAUUACAUUAUAUUAUUCUACUAAUCAAUUCUUUUUUAAUCCCUAUCCUUACUAAAUUUAACAUAGUUAAAAUGUCCUAUUUGUGAAUGGCCUUGAUCCAUGGUUCUUUUACCUGUAGUCCCCAUUGAUACUGAAAGCAGAGAUAAGAAAAACACGGACAUCCUUCAAAGCCCUCAUGGAAUGAAAUUCAGUUUUGAAUACAGUUGGCAUUUUCAUUUCAUUCAAGACAUUAACCUGUUUUUAAUCUAAUUAUGAGUAAGAAAUCACAAUGCUAAUAGAAAGUAAACAGGGGUAGGUUUUCUCUUACUGUUUGCUAAACCGAUAUUCUGGAAUUGAGGAUAGAAACCUAUAGCAUUAGCUUGGCAAGGGAUGGGUAAAAUUACUAAAGAAAAAUAAAGCCACUAAGUCUUGGAAAAGAUUCAGCUGAGGUGCUGCCACCUGAAUAUACAUUUAGUUUCACGGAUUCCCUAUAUUAAAACAUUUCAUUCUUGGCUGGCAAGAAUCUAAACAUUUCCAUUUUUAUCUGCACCCAAUCUUUCUGUUCCCUCUUAGUACACCCUCCACUAGUUUGGAAAAUAGGCAUUUGACAUACAGACUAAAAGUUAUGUAUUUUUUAUUAUAUGGAAUGUAAAUAUCAAGGAGAAUAUUAUAACACAUUAAAACAACUUUGAAAAUGGUAUAUUUUUUUCCUAUUCUACCAUAAUCUGAUGCUUUGGCUCUCCUUUUGGCCAAAAGGAAUUAAAUAUUUGAAGGAUGAAUGAGUUUUUUGUUGUUUCAGUUAUGUCCAACUCUUUGUGCCCUCAUUUGGGGUUUUCUUGGCAAAGGUACUGGAAUAGUUUGCUAUUUCCUUCUCCAAAUCAAUUUAGAAAUAAAGAAACUGAGGCAAGCAGAAUUAAGUGAUUUGCCCAACAUCACACAGCUAGUAAGAGUCUGAAGCUGAAUUUGAACUCAUGAAGAAGAGUUUUUCUAAUCACAGGCCCAACACUUUAUCCACUGUUCCACCUACCUGCCCAAGAGAAGCUUAGAUAAAUUCAAUAAUUAGCAGAGUAGAAGCAAAAUUAGGCAAAAGCUUUUCAUGUACCCCAAUUACUCUUCUCCUUUUGCUUUUUCCCCCUACUUAAUGUUGCCUCUUUCCAAAUCAUUAACACUAGACAACUUUCCACAUUAUCUAGAGUAGCUGAAAAUGUAAUCAGCAAAAGAGAAAAUUUAAAUAUACUAAAGUCCUAUGUUAAGUCAGAACAGAAGGAAAAGGUGGAAG